CUGCUGGGGAGAAAGAGCUUGGAGCGGCAGGGCUUAACCCGGUACAGCUCAGAGGUGGGUUUCUGAAGGACUCGGGGAGACAGCUGCAACAAGGCCUAGAAAUUGCUUGAAAAAUAUUUCUCAACUGAAUGAAUGAAUGAAUUGUAAAAUGGAGAGAACGUCAGGAUUCUAUGUCAUUUGUUUUUAAUUUUCCUAAUAUUGUAUGCAUGCUAAACAUCCUCAAAAUUUACCAAGUCUGUGAAGUUAUUGUUCCAGCUGAUUUCAUUUAUGGCUCAGGUAAUGCCAAUAUUUCCUAGGGAAAAAAGGAGGUGACAUUACAUCGGAUUUCCCAGUCACCAACACUCUGCUCAAUAGACAGACCUCUUAAGGGUAUAAUAAGUGUGGCUGCAUAGGCUGGAAGAAUAUAUAGGUGAGGAAACAUACUUUCCUGUUUUUCUUAAC
rnacentral:lncRNA from 1 species